rnacentral:rRNA from 1 species
CCUACGGGAGGCAGCAGUGGGAAUAUUGCACAAUGGGCGCAAGCCUGAUGCAGCCAUGCCGCGUGUGUGAAGAAGGCCUUCGGGUUGUAAAGCACUUUCAGCGGGGAGGAAGGCGGUGAGGCUAAUAACCUCAUCGAUUGACGUUACCCGCAGAAGAAGCACCGGCUAACUCCGUGCCAGCAGCCGCGGUAAUACGGAGGGUGCAAGCGUUAAUCGGAAUUACUGGGCGUAAAGCGCACGCAGGCGGUCUGUCAAGUCGGAUGUGAAAUCCCCGGGCUCAACCUGGGAACUGCAUUCGAAACUGGCAGGCUAGAGUCUUGUAGAGGGGGGUAGAAUUCCAGGUGUAGCGGUGAAAUGCGUAGAGAUCUGGAGGAAUACCGGUGGCGAAGGCGGCCCCCUGGACAAAGACUGACGCUCAGGUGCGAAAGCGUGGGGAGCAAACAGGAUUAGAUACCCGGGUAGUC